rnacentral:lncRNA from 1 species
CACUAUAGGUUGGUAUGUACCCAAUUGUGACUAAACCAAAAGAAACAAAUCUGGAAACUGAAGUAUCAAUACGUGAAAAGCGUUCUUUUGGUAUUGGGAGUGCCAGUUGUCUUUGUUUCAUGAACUACUUCUCCGUAAUAGCAUGCAGCCAUCUUCAAGAGGUAAAACAGCAUCCCCAGGAUAAACAGGUGAGGAAUCACAGAGCAAUUUAAAAA